rnacentral:rRNA from 1 species
CGGGUGAGUAAUAUAUCGGAACGUGCCCAGUCGUGGGGGAUAACGCAGCGAAAGCUGUGCUAAUACCGCAUACGAUCUCUGGAUGAAAGCGGGGGACUCUCAAGAGCCUCGCGCGAUUGGAGCGGCCGAUAUCAGAUUAGCUAGUUGGUGGGGUAAAAGCUCACCAAGGCGACGAUCUGUAGCUGGUCUGAGAGGACGACCAGCCACACUGGAACUGAGACACGGUCCAGACUCCUACGGGAGGCAGCAGUGGGGAAUUUUGGACAAUGGGCGCAAGCCUGAUCCAGCAAUGCCGCGUGCAGGAUGAAGGCCUUCGGGUUGUAAACUGCUUUUGUACGGAACGAAACGGCUCUUUCUAAUAAAGAG